rnacentral:rRNA from 1 species
ACGUUGUUCGGAAUCACUGGGCUUAAAGGGCGCGUAGGCGGGUGGCUAAGUCUGUGGUGAAAUCCGGCAGCUCAACUGUCGAAUUGCCCUGGAUACUGGUCAUCUCGAGGGAGGCAGGGGUGCGCGGAACUAAUGGUGGAGCGGUGAAAUGCGUUGAUAUCAUUAGGAACUCCGGUGGCGAAGGCGGCGCACUGGUCCUCUUCUGACGCUGAGGCGCGAAAGCCAG